rnacentral:rRNA from 1 species
UACAGAGGUCUCAAGCGUUGUUCGGAAUCACUGGGCGUAAAGGGUGCGUAGGUGGCGUGGUAAGUCAGAUGUGAAAGCCCGGGGCUCAACCUCGGAAUUGCGUCCGAUACUGCCACGCUCGAGUACUGAAGAGGUGACUAGAAUUCUCGGUGUAGCAGUGAAAUGCGUAGAUAUCGAGAGGAAUACCAGAGGCGAAGGCAGGUCACUGGGCAGUUACUGACACUGAGGCACGAAGGCCAGGGGAGCGAACGGG